CACUUGUUCUUUAAAUAGGGACUAGUAUCAACGGCACCACGAGGGUCUCACUGUCUCCUCUCUCUAAUCAAUGAAACUGAUCUCUCCGUGAAGAAGCGGAGAUUUAACUAUAAGACGAGAAGACCCCAUGGAGCUUUAAACCUGACUACACCCCUAUCUAUUAUACCCUUAAAUCAACAGGGCCUUUGUCUGUCGGUUUUAGGUUGGGGUGACCGCGGAGCAUAAAUUAACCUCCAAGAUGAACUGGACUAACCCAUUAUCUAAGAUUUACACCUCAAAGAAUCAGCACACUGACAUA
rnacentral:rRNA from 1 species